GGGGGCAUAGCUCAGCGGGAGAGCGUCUGCUUUGCAAGCAGAGGGUCUGCGGUUCGAAUCCGCAUGCCUCCACCA
rnacentral:tRNA from 1 species